AGGAGGAAUUGGAAGUUUGUCGGCUUAGACCUGGUGUCAUUCCAUCAGUGUUAAACUUCCCGGCUCAUCUUGGAAGAGUACGUGCCAGAAAGACCACGACCAAGCAGCCUUGAGAUCUUAGGCAGCAUCUCCCUGAGGUCCCUCUCUAUCUCCCCACACAUCCACCAACCACUGGAACACAUCUCCAAAGUUCUGCCGGGCCAGCUCAGCUUCCCCUCAGAAGAAGUACCACCACCUGCCAGAUGAAGGAGCCUUUUGAGAGGCAGCUGGCAUCGUGAUUGGACUGUAUUUUGGUCUGUUCCAAUCCAGCUUCAGCUCCAGAGACGGCAGGCGGGACGAGUCAACGGAGGCCGGGUGGACAAAGGCAUGCAGCUGAGUACAAUCCAGAAAACAACAGAGGAGGAGUGCAGCGGCCCAGGGCCAGAAAAAACAGAGUAUGUCUCUUAGAAAACAUCAUAGUAUAGCCUUUGGUAUGAAAAAACACCAUCAUAUACAUCGUAUAUUGUACAAAUAACAAGUCAAAGCAAAGAGACAUACAUUGUAGAAUUGUAGUAAUUGUGGGCUGACUGAUUUACUGAUUAUCAGUAUUUUAUUUUUUACUGAUUUACGGUAAUAAAUAAAUUUAAAAAUGG